UGGUCAAGCUUGAAAUUCUCAGUUGGCUU
rnacentral:piRNA from 1 species